CAAUAUGCAAGUUUCCAGCUUCUCAUGAAAACUUGGGAGACCUGGUCACACCUGGCCUCCAGGCCUUCCUGACAACAUUCAGCCGAAGCUGAGUGAGGCCGACAUUUCUGUGGGGCCUGUGCUCUCCAGGUCACCCUCUCUUGUCUAAAACCCCCUUCACUCACUACCUGCACUCAUGCUCUGUCUGGUCUCUGUAGACCUUUGCCAACCCUUGCCUUCAGCAGAUUUUUACUUCCACUGUGUAGAACGAGGCUCAUGUAUUUAUCUUCUACCUUACAUCACUUUCUUUUGGAACCUGACUGCUGGUAGAUCAUGAAGGGUCUGGAAUGUUUUGCUAGAGUUUGGACUUUAUCCCAGACCCUUCAUGAUGUACCUCCCAAUGAUGUUUCCAGGCCAUAGCCGCCACACUCCACCAUGUGCACUCUCUGCAGGCGCCGCACCCAGCCCUCCUUUAUUCCCCAGGUACAGCAUUGUGAUCUCCCACCUCUGGCACACUUUAUGCUCCCUGUGCUUAGAAUGCCCUCUGCCUGGCUGCUCAACUCUUCUGGGCUCUAGCACAGCCCAGAUGAAAUGCAUCUCCUGUCCACAGUCCUUCCAACCACAUGCCCACCCAGGGCCACCUGCUAACCCAGACAGUGUCUUAGUGGAAAUUGGAAAAAUGUGCCCCUUCCUCAAGAUUUGUUCUUUUAUCUGCUAGAAAACUGUCCUGAUCAAUAUCUACAUUCAAAUGCUUGCAGUGUGAAUGCUUUCUAAAUUUAGCAUCUUUGUGCAAUAUGUGUGUUGCACAGCUGUACUUGGUGGACUAGCUCCUGCCAGGGUAGAAGGAGAAACUCCUCUGUGCUCCCGCAGGAUUGCCUCACACCCCCACCAGAGAGGAAUAGCAUCUGUAGGGAAAGAAUGU